GUUGUUACAGCCGCAGAAAACUUAGCAGUCUGAGCUAAUGAGGCGUUUACGUUGUCCACCAUUAUGAAUAUGUAAUCCAUGUUACUAAAGUACAUUAAACAGAAGCUACGAAAUGCCACAUGAUCAACGAACUCUUCCGGGAUUGACAGUCACUGCUCGGCGGCGUUGCGUUUGGCUACUGCUGUGUGAAGACUUGGCUUUCUAAGAAUUGACCGUCUAUUGUUCUACAUAAUCCAUUGUUACACAACCUAUAUGUUAGACUCAGCGGUCAGGGUUUUUGCAGCCGAACUGACUUAAUGUAGUUCCCUGGGCGCCCCUCCCUGCCCCGCCCUGGUAGGAGGCGCUGCAGAGAUGUUACUCCACACUGAGCGGCAGCAGAAGAAGAAUCCCACAGCAGUCCAUUAAUGUGAGCAGAUCAGAUUUUCCCAGUUAGAUCCUGAUGCUUAGAUUACAUUAAAAAUAGAAUCUAGAAUCUAGAACAGGAGAAACGCAUCAGAUCCUCCAGGAGGAGAGAUGCUGCCAUGACUGGAUUCAACCUGCUGGUUUCAUCAUCAACAUUUCAGUCUGAAUAAUGACUGAACUUAAUGCAGUGUUUCAUAAUAAAGAUCAGCUGGAAUGGAUGCCACUGUU